AGCGAUAGCUCUAGAACAUUCUAGGGUUCUCUACAAAACUCAAAAAAAAAAAAAGAAAGAAAGAAAGAAAAAAGAAAAAAAGAAAGAAAGAAACAAUACCAUUCUUAGAAUCCAAUAGGCAGAAGAAUUCUUAUUCUACAUACCACAACAGCUGGAUUAGUUCUGUCUCCUAUAGGUAAGUUCAAAACAUCAGCUAAUGCGAAUUAUUCAUCUUAUUACAAGAUAAGGACGGGAGAACAAAAAUAAAAAAGCAGAUUAUCAUGCAUAUAAGUACACCCAUUUAGUUCUACAUUCCUUGCACUUAUUAUAUACUUAUCAUAAGACAUUUAUAACAGGUACAAAUAUUAAAUCAAGGCACCUAUUAUGUGGGUGACCUAAUGACAGGGGAGCUAGCAACCAAAGCCCUGGUGAACAGCGGACGUAACUAUAACAGUCCUAAGGUAGCGAAAUUCCUUGUCGGGUGGUCUCUUCCAUUUCAUCAGGUACUCCAUAUAUAUAGGGACUCCAUGUUUGCUCUUCUUAUGGUUAUAUAUCAUGUCCUUCACCAAGAUUACCUUGAAGUCAGCCAUCAGAAUGAUUUGUCAAAGUCUCUUCUGCAUUGAACACGUCACAUUCUCAAGUAGGAACUGCAACUUCAACAUCAGCUCUUCCUACACUUUAAAUGCUUGUGUUCUUUGGAGAGUUUGUUUUACAUAGCUUUAGGACUCCUAUCAGAUAUUUCCACUUUUGUAUCUGCUCAUUGGUUUUCGGCAGCUGAGCUUCUUUAGGCAUAUGGGCCUACAUGUUGAUGGUCGGGUUCCACACUCGUGGAAUUACCAAACAUCUAUUGUUCCCAAGUGUGAGUUUGAAUAAGAGAAUUCCAUGGUAAAAUAAACAAAUUCUGCAAUUAUUAUGAAAA